AUGACAGGCCACUUAAAAAAUUCACAUGUUCGAAUAGUUGAGAGCACUCCUGUCAAUUGGUGUCCCCCUAUGGCUGGCUGGGUGAAACUGAAUACUGAUGGGCCCUUUGCAGAAAAUGGUACGGCUGGUGCGGGGAUGGUGCUGCGAGAUGAUAGAGGCCUGUCUUUUGCAAUUCAGAGAAGCGACUUGCCGAUCAUUAUUGAGAUGGACUCCAUUGUUGCAGUUAAGCUGAUUCAAGCGAUAGAUAUUGAUAGAUCGAUCUACUCUUCUUUAGUUAAAGAAAUUAGACACCUGAUGUAUUACUCAUAUAAAUCGUAUGCAAAAUAA
rnacentral:rRNA from 1 species